rnacentral:lncRNA from 1 species
CGAGGUCUGUCGAUCACCGCCGGUGCACGGGCCGGGGUUGGUGGCCAACUGGGUUCGGUGGGGGCGGAGGAGAGGGAGGUAGGAGGUUCGACCGGACCCUUCCGGUCCCAGAGCUAAUUCAUCCGAUUCAGAUGUCAACCGGAGGUCCAGUCGUAUGGGCGAGGAGGAGAAUUGGACCCUAGUUCUGGGCAAACAGGCGAAGGACUACUGCUGUGAGAGGCCCUGGUGCUGGUUGUGGUAUUAGUUAGCCGUAGGAUUGCUUUGCUGAAAGAUGGUGUUUGCCUUUGCUUUGCUCUGCUCUGACUUCCUUCCGGGCUAACCCAGAACUCGAUUGGUUUGGCUCGCAAAAUAAAUAAAUAAAUAAGAAAUCAAAAAAAAUACUUCUUAAGAGGAAUAAAAAAAUAAAUAAGAUUCUCAACGGAAAAAAAUCCACGACUCGAGCCUCGAGGGAUCAUCUUCACCCUGUCUUCGCUCUGUCGCUGGCCGCGGAUGCUAUUGGCCGUUCCUUUCCUUCGCGUCUUUGUAGCUUCUUUUAGGUCUACCUCCACUUCUGAGGACUACGAGCGCAUAAACUUCCGAGGAGGCUUCUGAGUUAUCAAUUUCAGCUGCAUCAAGAAUCUCGAGUGCAUCCCAAACCUAAAUUGUUGCAAACCCAACCUUCUUCGUAGAAAGAAUCGAGUAAAAAACCUCUCCCUUCAGAAACUACACGCACCCAAUUCACUCUUUGGAAGGCAGCGACUGGUGAUAGGAACAAUUUUUGAAUCGAGCUUCUUCGUCAAUGCAGCACCUUCCAGCCUAUCAACACCGUGGUAAAAAUUCUCACAAUGCGGAGAUUCCCAGAAGCAGUUGUCCAAUUUGCCCGACCAAAACCUGCGAAGCCAUCAAAACCUUCAAAAAAUCUACUUCAUAUCGAAGAAAAUAAUAUUAAAAAAAGAGAUUUUGGUGGUUUAGAAGAAUAGGAUUUCGAUGAAGAAACCUGGAAGGACGAAUGAGAAGGUGACGUGGGAGAGGGAUAUAUCUACGUGGGAAUUACUAUUCCAAGAGCUGCCGAUGCUUAAAGUUCUACCUCUGAUGGAUUCUAAAGGCGAAGGAGAGAUUGUGGUGAGGAAGGAGGAGGAGGAUCGAUUUCUGUAUAAGAUUAGGGUUUGACCGUUUGAGGGAGAAGAUGCCGCGGAAGCCUUUCUCGAAUCCCCGGCCUAAAGAAACUAACCAUUCGUUGCGAGGCUCUUUUCGUCGCUCACGGGGGGUGACCAGAUACGCACGUCCCAUGCGGCAGUGGCCAGUGGGUGAUAUCGAAUGAUCGGCCUUGGUUUUCGUAUUCCCUGCUUG